rnacentral:rRNA from 1 species
GCCUAACACAUGCAAGUCGAACGGAACUGUUUUGAAAGAUUUCUUCGGAAUGAAUUUGAUUUAGUUUAGUGGCGGACGGGUGAGUAACGCGUGAGUAACCUGCCUUCAAGAGGGGGAUAACAUUCUGAAAAGAAUGCUAAUACCGCAUGAUAUAUCGGAACCACAUGGUUCUGAUAUCAAAGAUUUUAUCGCUUGAAGAUGGACUCGCGUCCGAUUAGUUAGUUGGUGAGGUAACGGCUCACCAAGACCGCGAUCGGUAGCCGGACUGAGAGGUUGAACGGCCACAUUGGGACUGAGACACGGCCCAGACUCCUACGGGAGGCAGCAGUGGGGGAUAUUGCGCAAUGGGGGCAACCCUGACGCAGCAACGCUGCGUGAAGGAUGAAGGUUUUCGGAUUGUAAACUUCUUUUAUUAAGGACGAAAAUUGACGGUACUUAAUGAAUAAGCUCCGGCUAACUACGUGCCAGCAGCCGCAGUAAUAC